AUUGUCGCGGGUUGAAAUUUUGCAGGGUUGUUGAAAUCAAAUUUAGGGACUUUACUGACGGGACUCUGGGCUGGCUGCUCUGUUCACUCGUCAGCGCAAGUGGCGUGACCAUGUAAUUGGGGCACGGGGCCGGCGCGGCGCGCUGCGGGCUUGCAGAAUUUUGUUUGUUUGUUUGGCCGCGCGCUGGCGCAGCCACGGGCCGCAGUUACUGGGGCGCGCUGUCGUAACAAGCCGCGCGGUGUGGCCUGCACAUCGGGGUAGAGGGGGGGUAGUCUUCCCAGAUGUUCUAGUUAGUUGUUUAGUAAAUUUGACUUCAAUAACGAGCUUUUGUUAUGGUAGGCGCGGCAGGGCGCGCGAAUUUAAGCGCAAGUGAGUGGUGACUCGGGGCUCACUCAGGCGGAGGCUAUGCGUCUCACCUGUGGUCACGAGUUGUUAGUUCGUUCGUGAUGUAGGAAUUCAAGCUUUCGGGCGGAAGCUAUGGUCGACGCCAGAGGCCACGAGUCGUUUAAUUUAAGUUAGGUCAUAAUGUAGUCGUCAAGCUUUCGGGCGGAGGCUAUGGCCCUCGUCAGGGGUCACGCGUCAUAGUUUUUAAAAUGUAAUGUUCGUUCGGGAUUUCAAGGGCAGGAGAGGCCCCUACGUUAUUUUUUUAAAGUAAUCGAUCAAGAAAGGCUUUUCGGAAAAUGUGAGUAUGGACUUAUCUUUGUUUUAAUUUUAAGUAUUAAUUAUGAUUUGAGGUAUUCGGAAGGACUAGGGAAGUGUUUAGUGAAGUUCUCUCAUUCUCUCUCUUGUAAGGUCGUUCAAUCGUUAAGGAAGUAAAGAGAUUAUUGUUUUAAAUUGUAAUCCCGCUAUUUAAAUGUUCUUUAAAAUGAUGUUGAGUAUUUGACUUUAAGAAUAAAAUAAUUUUAAUUAAGUAUUAUGUUAUUUUGCAAAAUCUCCUUAGUUCAGCUCUCACCAGACAUCCUGUACGGGAUGACGAACCUAUGAUCCUAGGUACAGUAAAGUAUUUUAUGAAGUUAAGACUAGUUGAUGCCAAGCGAGUUGUUUCUAUGUAAAGAGCUACGAUUCUCGCCCCCCCUCUGAAGGUGGAUCGUGACAGAAAUGGCGGUGGCACCGGCUAGGUGCACGUGACAGAAAUGGUGGAGGCGCCGGGUAGGUUCUAUUUCUGGAGAGAGAGAGGUAGAUUUUUAUGUUUAUUAUUAAGUUAGUUUCAGCUUCUGAUAGCAGGUUACUAAGAGUUUACUUGAGGAGAGGAUUACGGAAUUUUAGUCUAUAGUGGAGGAAGUCUUUGAGAUUUUUUUUUUGACGUAACAGAUGUUUAUUUGAGGAUACUUGUAAGGAUAAAGUUUAUAGUGAUAAGUUGUUUUAAGUCGUUGAAUUUAUUGUAGAUUUAUAUCGGGGAUUAUUACGUGAGGAGAAUACGUUAUAAGUUAAAUGCUUAUUAGAGAUAAUGCAAGUGGUUUAAUUUAAUUGAAGUUCAUUUUAAGAUUGUAGGUUAAGAGAAUUAUAAUUUAAAAUAAAGUUUUUGUCGUAAAUAGGAAUUAUUUUCAAGAGAAGUUUGUUUUGUUUUCGUGCGCGUAGGAGACGAGACGUACGAAUUAAAUCAGUCGAGGGAAGGAUAAACGUUAGAAAGGAAUUAAAGAGAAAACGAGAGUUUAUGUAAAAGAGAGUUAUAGAAUUUAUAGUGAUGUUUUGUUUUAAUUAGAAAAAUGUUGAGAGUUGUUUCAGAACGACACGUCAGUGGACGUGGCAGAAUGAACACGUGACGGGGAGGUGCUGAGACCUAGCGGAGAACGGAGGAACCGCAAGCGAGGGUUGGCGCACCUGAUGGAAUUCGGUGACGUCACGGGCUCAUACGGAGACGUGGACAGGCCGUGACCUUGUUUUGAUCAGCUGUACGGUAACUUAGCGAUAAGAAAAUAGACUAUUGGUUAAAUAAAUUUAAAUUUAAGUGUGUUUUAGGAGAAGAGGAACUUUCAGUAUAUUCCUUAAGAUGAGCUGAGCAGCAGUCCAGUUUACAAGAUGACAAGAGUUCGAGAGACAAGAUACAAGAUCACUGAAACAAGAGCCAAGACUGAAGAUUCAAGAGAAGAGAAAGCUGGCAGCCAUGGACUUACAAGUGGAGAUUAAUAAGGUCAUGUAAAGUUUUAUUUUUUUUUAUGGAAGACAGUAACUGGAGUUUUUUUUUGUUAUAAACAUUAUUUACAGAACUUUUUAGGUUAUAGUAAUGUAAUGGAACUAGUGAGUUGUGGUAGCUGUCAAAAAGAACUAAUACCUUAAGUUUAAUUUUUAAAGUUAAUUUUCUUAAUUUACAGAGGGAUUAGUAGUUUUUUUUAAAACCUUAUUUAGGUUGGAAUUUAAAUACAAUAGCUUAUUAUAAAUGUGUACGAACAGUUCAAGUUCACAGUACUGAUAGGUAGGUCAGAUGAUCUUAUUGAUUUUGAUGAUUUGUUGUUUUGAGUUGAUUUUUAAGUGUUGUGAAUUAGACAAUGAAAUAGUUCUGAAAACUUAAAUUAUUUCAAGCGAAGAAAUAGUAAAGUUAAUUGUAACUCAAAGGACACCAGAAUUUAAUUUUUUUUUGAAUUAGUAAUGUUUGAAAAUUUUAUACUUUACAAGAAAGGUUAUAAACAAACAGAUCGGAUGGAACAAGGAUGCAGUAAAUCACAAUUUCAUUUAGAAUUAUUGAUUAGCUUUUGAGGUUAUGAAGUAAAAGUAAUUAUAGUUUAAAAGUUUGAAUAAAAAAAAAAAUGUUUUUUUUUAUUUGUUUGAAAUAGAAAGUUUAAAAGUUAAUUAGUCAUGAUCUAGGUGGGUGAUGGGGUGGGAAUUGGCCACUCUUUUUCCCUAUAACCUCCCUAACAUGGCCUUCUAUUACAACUAACAGAAAUAAAGAAGAAGAAAAAUGAAGAAUUAUUAGUUAGAAUGUUUCUUUCAUGAAGAUACCUGAUGAACUUAUACUGUUUGGAAGAAUAGAAGCAAGGUUAGUCAGAUAUUUUUACUCAGAAGAAGAAGAAGAUAAAGCAGUUUUAUGACUCGACAAGCCAGAGAUUGGUGUUUCCCCUCUGCGCUUCUAUUGACUACGUUGUUUACUCUCAUGGGAUAGCUGGUUCGGCACCAUGGAGAGAGAUUGGUGGGCAUUGUGGUUGCCCCCAGAAGAAAAGAAGAGUAGAAGAGGUUAUGGGUGGGUCAUGUGAAGUGACCUUCAACCCAGUUACUUCGUGGGGACUAUUUGCUGUAUAGAGAAGAUCAAGACUCAAGAGUUAGGGAAAAUCAUUGGAGGUCAUGUUUCCCUUCCUUAAGUUUUUCCUAUCAAAUUAUUUGCCUGAUUAGAUUAUGCUAAGGGUGGGAUACUUUAUGUUAGCAGUUGAAUUAAUUAAUUUUAUUUUUUUGUGUGUUUGCAUCCUUGCCCAUCGAUUGCAGUUUAGUAGUUAGUUUUGUAUUUGGCAGGCGUGAUGGUAAUGCCUGUUGAUGAUGUUUCAGAAUUGUAAUCUGUUCGUGAUGAGGAUGGCACAACUCCGAAGCAGAUGUGGGGAGAAGUUGUGAGCUGCCCUGGAAGCCAGUCCAGUAGCUGUUGGAGUUGAGUGGUGUUUGCUGAUGGCCAGCCCAGGGAGCUACUCUUCUCGACAACACUGACUUCGAGGAGUUGCACCAACCUUCACGAGAUAAGAGUUUAAUUAAUUGAAACACUGUAAGGACACUUAAUUUUUUUUGAAGAACGAAAGAAGUAUGGUAAUAAACGGAAACCGAAAAAAAAAAAAAAAAAA